rnacentral:rRNA from 1 species
UACAGAGGUCUCAAGCGUUGUUCGGAUUCAUUGGGCGUAAAGGGUGUGUAGGUGGCGCCGUAAGUCGGGUGUGAAAUUUCGGAGCUUAACUCCGAAACUGCAUUCGAUACUGCGGUGCUUGAGGACUGGAGAGGAGACUGGAAUUCAUGGUGUAGCAGUGAAAUGCGUAGAGAUCAUGAGGAAGACCAGUGGCGAAGGCGGAUCUCUGGGCCAUUACUGACGCUGAGGAGCGAAAGCGUGGGGUGCGAACAGG